rnacentral:siRNA from 1 species
AAGAGAAAAGUGUCUAUUCUCC